UGGGGAAUAUUGCACAAUGGGCGCAAACCUGAUGCAGCCAUGCCGCGUGUGUGAAGAAGGCCUUCGGGUUGUAAAGCACUUUCAGCGAGGAGGAAGGUGGUGAACUUAAUACGUUCAUCAAUUGACGUUACUCGCAGAAGAAGCACCGGCUAACUCCGUGCCAGCAGCCGCGGUAAUACGGAGGGUGCAAGCGUUAAUCGGAAUUACUGGGCGUAAAGCGCACGCAGGCGGUUUGUUAAGUCAGAUGUGAAAUCCCCGGGCUCAACCUGGGAACUGCAUUUGAAACUGGCAAGCUAGAGUCUCGUAGAGGGGGGUAGAAUUCCAGGUGUAGCGGUGAAAUGCGUAGAGAUCUGGAGGAAUACCGGUGGCGAAGGCGGCCCCCUGGACGAAGACUGACGCUCAGGUGCGAAAGCGUGGGGCAGCAAACAGGAUUAGAUACCCUGGUAGUCCACGCUGUAAACGAUGUCGAUUUUGGAGGUUGUGCCCUUGAGGCGUGGCUUCCGGAGCUAACGCGUUAAAUCGACCGCCUGGGGAGUACGGCCGCAAGGUUAAAACUCAAAUGAAUUGACGGGUCUAGCUGUUCC
rnacentral:rRNA from 1 species